AACGAACGCUGGCGGCAGGCCUAACACAUGCAAGUCGAACGAGACCUUCGGGUCUAGUGGCGCACGGGUGGGUAACGCGUGGUAACCUGCCCUUAAGUUCGCAAUAACUCCCCGAAAGGCGUGCUAAUACCGGAUAAUGUCUUCGGACCAAAGAUUGAUCGCCUUUGGAUGGGCCCGCGUUGUAUUAGCUAGUUGUUAGGGUAAAACGCUACCAAUGCGACGAUACAUAGCUGGUCAGAGAGGAUGAUCAGCCACACUGGUACUGAGACACGGUCCAGACUCUUAGGGGAGGACGCAGUGGGGAAUACUGCAAUAUGGCGGAAAGCAUGAUCCACCUAUGCCGCGUGAGUGAUGAAAGCCUUAGGGUUGUACAGUUAUUUUACCCGGGAUGAUAAUGACAUUACCGGGAGAAUAAGCUCCGGCUAACUCCGUG
rnacentral:rRNA from 1 species